rnacentral:rRNA from 1 species
AGUGAACGCUGGCGGUAGGCCUAACACAUGCAAGUCGAACGGCAGCACAGUAAGAGCUUGCUCUUACGGGUGGCGAGUGGCGGACGGGUGAGGAAUACAUCGGAAUCUACUUUUUCGUGGGGGAUAACGUAGGGAAACUUACGCUAAUACCGCAUACGACCUACGGGUGAAAGCAGGGGAUCUUCGGACCUUGCGCGAUUGAAUGAGCUGAUGUCGGAUUAGCUAGUUGGCGGGGUAAAGGCCCACCAAGGCGACGAUCCGUAGCUGGUCUGAGAGGAUGGUCAGCCACACGGGAACUGAGACACGGUCCAGACUCCUCCGGGGGGCAGCAGUGGGGAAUAUUGGACAAUGGGCGCAAGCCUGAUCCAGCCAUACCGCGUGGGUGAAGAAGGCCUUCGGGUUGUAAAGCCCUUUUGUUGGGAAAGAAAAGCAGCAGGUUAAUACCCCGCUGUUCUGACGGUACCCAAAGAAUAAGCACCGGCUAACUUCGUG